rnacentral:rRNA from 1 species
UACGUAGGGGGCAAGCGUUGUCCGGAAUCAUUGGCGUAAAGAGCGCGCAGGCGGUCGUUCAAGUCGCGUGUGAAAGCCCCGGCUCAACUGGGAGGGUCACGCGAGUACUGAUCGACUCGAAGGCAGGAGAGGGAAUGGAAUUCCCGGUGUAGUGGUGAAAUGCGUAGAUAGCGGGAGGAACACCAGUGGCGAAGGCGGACUCCUGGCCUGU